rnacentral:rRNA from 1 species
CAGCACCUCAAGUGGUCAGAAUGAUUAUUGGGCCUAAAGCAUCCGUAGCCGGCGCUGUAAGUUUUCGGUUAAAUCUGUACGCUCAACGUACAGGCUGCCGGGAAUACUGCAGCGCUAGGGAGUGGGAGAGGUAGACGGUACUCGGUAGGAAGGGGUAAAAUCCUUUGAUCUAUUGAUGACCACCUGUGGCGAAGGCGGUCUACCAGAACACGUCCGACGGUGAGGGAUGAAAGCUGGGGGAGCAAACCGGAUUAGAGACCCGAGUAGUCC